UGACGUCAAGUCAUCAUGGCCCUUACGGCCAGGGCUACACACGUACUACAAUGGUCGGUACAGAGGGUUGCGAGACCGCGAGGUGGAGCCAAUCCCAGAAAGCCGAUCUCAGUCCGGAUUGGAGUCUGCAACUCGACUCCAUGAAGUCGGAAUCGCUAGUAAUCGCGGAUCAGCCAUGCCGCGGUGAAUACGUUCCCGGGCCUUGUACACACCGCCCGUCACACCAUGGGAGUGGGCUGCACCAGAAGCCGGUAGUCUAACCGCAAGGGGGACGCCGACCACGGUGUGGUUCAUGACUGGGGUGAAGUCGUAACAAGGUAGCCGUAUCGGAAGGUGCGGCUGGAUCACCUCCUUUAGAGUGAUCAAGCGCCGCCGGGCGCCCACACAAGACACCUGUAA
rnacentral:rRNA from 1 species